GAUGGAGAACGUAGCGAAAUGCGAUAAGUAAUGCGAAUUGCAGAAUUUCCGUGAGUCAUCGAAUCUUUGAACGCACAUUGCGCCCACUGGUAUUCCGGUGGGCAUGCCUGUUCGAGCGUCAUUAUCCUCCCUCAAACCCCGGGUUUGGUGUUGGACCCAAGUUGUGUGAACAACUGGUCUCAAAGACAAUGACGGCGUCCGUGGGACCCUCGGUGCAACGAGCUUUUAGGAGCACGCAUCGAGUUGCAAGGACCUUCCGGGCCGGUCUCCUUUACCAUUUUACAAGGUUGACCUCGGAUCAGGUAGGAAUACCCGCUGAACUUAAGCAUAUCAAUAAGCGGAGGA
rnacentral:misc_RNA from 1 species